rnacentral:rRNA from 1 species
GAUGAACGCUGGCGGCGUGCUUAACACAUGCAAGUCGAACGGGGAACCUUUUAUUGAAGCUUCGGCAGAUUUAGACUUGUUUCUAGUGGCGGACGGGUGAGUAACGCGUGGGUAACCUGCCUUAUACAGGGGGAUAACAGUCAGAAAUGACUGCUAAUACCGCAUAAGACGCACAGAGCUGCAUGGCUCGGUGUGAAAACUCCGGUGGUAUAAGAUGGACCCGCGUUGGAUUAGCUGGUUGGUGAGGUAACGGCCCACCAAGGCGACGAUCCAUAGCCGGCCUGAGAGGGUGAACGGCCACAUUGGGACUGAGACACGGCCCAG